UGCGUUGAAUAAAACUGGAGUUUACACUUGCUUUGCCCUGAAUACAGCUGGAACAAGUGGUAGUGGUAGUAAUGCUAAUUCUAAACACACUCUGACAGUCACUGAAGAUUCAACAAUUCUUUGUGGAGAAAAUAUAGAUAAAUUUAAUACUAAAUGGGGUAUAACAGCAGAAAAAAACCUGCUUACUUUACCUUGCAAUGGUUACUACACGGGUAGUGUUUCUAGAUACUGCAGCAAUGGUGGAAAGUGGAUGGAACCAGAUUACAGCCUGUGUACGCGUAAAGCAAUACAAAAUAUCCAUGCACAGUCAGCUAAACUAUUAUCUGGAGAGAGUGUAGAC